rnacentral:ncRNA from 1 species
AUAACGCUUUGAACUGAACCUUUUCCAAAAGAUCUGUUGCCCAUAAUAAUAGCGCGCUUAUGGUCCUUUAAAGCGCCUGCAACUAUUUCUGAUGCUGAUGCAGAACCAGAGUUUAUAAGUACUACCAAUGGUUUGCCUUCUAUAAUGUCUCCUUCACUUGCAUACGCAUGCGACAUAUCUGAACCGCUGCGCCCACGAGUAGAAACAAUUUCUCCUUCCUCUAAAAAUGCAUCAGCAACUUUUAUAGACUGUGUAAGAAGUCCGCCUGGAUUAUUUCUUA